rnacentral:misc_RNA from 1 species
GAUGAAGAACGUAGCGAAAUGCGAUAAGUAAUGUGAAUUGCAGAAUUCAGUGAAUCAUCGAAUCUUUGAACGCACAUUGCGCCCGCCAGUAUUCUGGCGGGCAUGCCUGUUCGAGCGUCAUUUCAACCCUCAAGCCCCCGGGCUUGGUGUUGGGGAUCGGCGUGCCCUCGCGGCGCGCCGUCCCCUAAAUCUAGUGGCGGUCUCGCUGUAGCUUCCUCUGCGUAGUAGCAACACUCGCACUGGAUCGCAGCGCGGCCACGCCGUUAAACCCCCCACUUCUGAAAGUUUGACCUCGGAUCAGGUAGGAAUACCCGCUGAACUUAAGCAUAUCAAUAAGCGGAGGA